rnacentral:lncRNA from 1 species
GAUCAUGUUCUUGAUUUCUGGCCUGUAGCAGUUUUAACAUGUCAUAAAGAAUGCAUUCAUUCUUCUCCUUUUCCUUUGCAAGCUCAUCCCUAAGAGCAUCCAUCUCGGUUUCUACUUUUGCCUACCUCUUCUUCUGCCUCUCAAUCUUAGCAUCAUUAGCCCUACUCUCCUAUACCAAGGCCCUCACUUUGCUCUUCACAGACACCCUCUUGGAUGAAUCAUGUUCUUUGGGAAUAAUAUAGACUUCAUAGUCACAUCCAGUCAAGGUAUUGGCCCUAAAGUGAUCUUUGUUUAUGCUAACAUCCUAUUUCUUGAGGGAAACCUUGAAGUGAGCAAUCCAAGCAACGGGAAUGAAUCCAUAUGUUAUGGUAUGAGUUUUACUACAAGUCAGAACCAUAUCAUGGAGCUUAAUAUAAACCUCGGCCAAUUUAUUUGUCUCCCACUAUCCACUCACUCCAUAAGGCCAGGUCUAUGAAGGUGGCAAUGUGUCUUAUUUCCUACCUGGGCAACACAACCUUGUUGACAAAUUCAAAGAGCAACUUGUCGGCAGACUUCAUUUCACUUUUGUACACAACCUUAGGUGUCAGCAAAUUUUCUUGUAAUGGCAAGGGCGGUAGGUAGGUUUUCUAGGCUUGGCCAUCUAAGCUUCUUAUAGUCAUUGUACCCUUCAUCAAGUAGCUCCCUAGAAUUUCUCCUAGUUUCUUGGCAUCAAAGCUCACAGUCAUCCCUUUCACUACCCUGGUGACCCUGCCAUUUUUGAUUUCACAAUUAGCUAUGAAUUCCACAAUUUAUGCUCGGGCUAGUCUUCCUUCCAUCUGAAGGACCAUGUCUUUCCAACCUUGAAGUCUAGCAUCUCCAGCAACAUCAACAUUCCUUCCUCCUCCAGGUCCUCCUGGUCCCUGAGGAUUCUAACUUUCAAGAUUGUUAUCUUGCUAAACUUUCAUCAUUUUUUUGUGCUCCUCAUCAGUUUCCUCUUCUUCUUCACUUUUUUC